rnacentral:rRNA from 1 species
AUCAGGGGUAAACCUGUGGAACUCGAACGAGCGAACGGGGAGACUCAUCGUUCUUCCGCGGGCCAGCGGCGCGCGAUUACGUCGCGGAUUCGUCCGCGAAGAUUCGCGCGUCGUCUUCGGUCCGCGGAGUGCGUGCACUUCUCCCUUAGUAAAACACUGCGACCCGUUGAAUGCGGUCGGUCGAACGCGCGUGCGAUUGUCCAGUCUUCUCCGGGAGAUUGAGUCGCGGCGUCGUGGCUGGCUUUCGACGGUAACGAACGAGGUUCGCGUCCGCCUCUCAGGCGUCCGCGGCGCGGCGGCGUCGUUCCCCUUCAGGUCUUCUGCGCGCAAGCGUCGUAAGUAUCUGUCGCGGUCGACGGAGGCGAUUUUCGGAUCGUCUCCGUCGCGAACGGCGCGUCUGCCGCGUCGCUCGGACGGGACGCGUCCCGGUCAGCGGUGGUUUUGUUUCGGGCACUCACAGGACCC